GCCGCGGUAGCCAAGUGGUUUACGGCGCAGGCCUGGAAAGCCUGUGACUCUCGGGUCUCAUGGGUUCGAAUCCCAUCCGCGGCGCCA
rnacentral:tRNA from 1 species